UGGGAUGGACUUAAACGUUUUAGGAGGUUC
rnacentral:piRNA from 1 species